rnacentral:misc_RNA from 1 species
ACAAGGUUUCCGUAGGUGAACCUGCGGAAGGAUCAUUAAAAAAUGAGACUCUUAUGAGUUCAUUAAUAAUCCUACCCUUUGUGAAUUUGUUGUUUGAAAUAAUUUUUUUCUAAAAAAUUAUUGAAUGUCUUUCCCUGUUUUGGUGGAGCUGUAAAGUAAACCAUCAGGGGAAUGGCAAACAAUAAUUUUUUUUGAAAAGACCUUUUUUUAAAUUAAACUUUUUGUAUUCAUUUGUCUAAAAUUAUUUUUAUAAUAUAAAAACAACUUUUGACAAUGGAUCUUUUGGUUCUCGCAACGAUGAAGAACGCAGCAAAAUGCGAUAAGUAGUGUGAAUUGCAGAAUACGUGAAUCAUCGAAUCUUCGAACGCAUAUUGCACUUUUUUAGUUUACUAAAAAAGUAUGUCUGUUUGAGUAUCAGUAAAAUAUUCUCAUAAAAACAUUUUUUUUUAUGGUUAUGAGUGUUUUACAACGAUAAACAAGUUGUUUCACUUUAAAUUCUUUGUCAUCAAAAAAAUCAUUAAAACUAAUUUUAAAGAUUUUUUAAAAUUGGAUAAAAUUUUCCCGUAAAAAAGGAAUAACCUAAACAAUUUUAAAAAAUUAAAAUUGGUUUGAUUUUUUCUGAUAUAAAGGAAAAAAGUAAAAUUAACUUGAUCUCAAAUCAGAUAAGAGUACCCGCUGAACUUAAGCAUAUCAAUAAGCGGAGGAAAAGAACUAACUAGGAUUCCCUCAGUAACGGCGAGUGAAGCGGGAAGAGCUCAAAUUUGAAAUCUUCAAGGUUUUACCUUGACGAAUUGUAGUUUAAAGAAGUGUUUUCUGUUGGAAUUUUGGUAAAGUUCUUUGGAAGAAGACAUCAAAGAGGGUGAGAAUCCCGUAUUUGACCAUUAUUUCCAGCUUUGUGAUACACUUUCAAAGAGUCGGAUUGUUUGGGAAUGCAGUCCAAAAUGGGUGGUAAAUUUCAUCUAAAGCUAAAUAUUGGCGAGAGACCGACAGCGAACAAGUACCGUGAGGGAAAGAUGAAAAGAACUUUGAAAAGAGAGUUAAACAGUACGUGAAAUUGUCAAAAGGGAAGCGUUUGACACAGUGUUGUUUUCUCGAAAAUCAAUUAAAAAAGAUUGGAUUUUGUGUUGUAUUGACUUAUCAGCUUUCUGCACUCUUUUCUUGUCUUUUUUAAUGCACUUUUCGUUUAACAAGUCAACAUCAAUUUCUUUUGUUGUAAAAGAGUCAUUGGAAGGUGGCUUUCUUUUCGGAGAAAGUGUUAUAGCCUUUGGCUUCUGCAAUCGGAGAGAUUGAGGUCUGCAGCGUAGAUCCUUCGGGUUAGAUGCAUUUGUGCUAAGUUAUAGCCUUUCAUAGACAACUUGUUGACUAUGAUCAGUCAUGUAGCUUACUCGCUUAUGCUAUUUUACCUACGCUUAGGAGUUGAG